rnacentral:rRNA from 1 species
GGGGUAGAAGAAGCUUGCUUCUUUGAGACCGGCGCACGGGUGCGUAACGCGUAUGCAAUCUACCUUUCACAAAGGGAUAGCCCAGAGAAAUUUGGAUUAAUACCUUAUAGUAUAAUUGAAUGGCAUCAUUUAAUUAUUAAAGAUUUAUCGGUGAAAGAUGAGCAUGCGUCCCAUUAGCUAGUUGGUAUGGUAACGGCAUACCAAGGCUACGAUGGGUAGGGGUCCUGAGAGGGAGAUCCCCCACACUGGUACUGAGACACGGACCAGACUCCUACGGGAGGCAGCAGUGAGGAAUAUUGGACAAUGGGCGCAAGCCUGAUCCAGCCAUGCCGCGUGCAGGAUGACGGUCCUAUGGAUUGUAAACUGCUUUUAUACAGGAAGAAACACCUCUACGUGUAGAGACUUGACGGUACUGUAAGAAUAAGGAUCGGCUAACUCCGUGCCAGCAGCCGCGGUAAUACGGAGGAUCCAAGCGUUAUCCGGAAUCAUUGGGUUUAAAGGGUCCGUAGGCGGUCAGAUAAGUCAGUGGUGAAAGCCCAUCGCUCAACGGUGGAACGGCC